UUGUAUAUGAUGAACUUACUUGGAUUCCCCUUCAGGACAUCAAAUUGGAUGAUGCAAAUACUAGUUUUACG
rnacentral:snoRNA from 1 species